CACGAGGAGACUGGUACUUAUUUUGACUUUGUAUAAAGGGGAUUUAUCCUCUGCCUUGUUUUGCCAGAGAGCAAUGCGGAGGAGUAAUACUAUUAUAUCAAUUAUGCAUGGCAGGCACUGUGGCAGUGAAACUACUUGAGCAUGGUUACACACGGUUAUCAAAAAUACGAAUAUUUUCCUAUUUUGUCAUUUUUCUGUAACCUCAGAUCUUAUCCGAGAUUACACGUGAUUAACUGAAAAUAAAUUGUAAAGGUCACGUGAGGAAGAGCCAAUUAAGUUCAAAGGCAUUCCAGGUGGAUCUUACAAUUUGGAUCAAAACCUGCAAAAUUGAAUUUUAUGAUUGGUAAAUGUGAUCUAAUUUCAAGCAGCAUAAAACCCAACCCCAGUCUUUGCGUAACUCAUGUGGGAUUGUAAUCAUAUUUAGAAACAGCCUGCCUAAAGUAUUUAUAUACUUUCCCAGGCUACUUUCAAACCAAUAAAGGUUUAGGUUUGUUUUUCAUUUUGGGGUCUUCAAGAGGGCCAAACUUUGACUUUAAGUCCUGCAGAGAAUUCUGUUGCCUUGCAUCCCUUUGCUAUUUGCCUCCCAUGUGUUAAUGGGACAAGGGUUCUCAGGGCGAGACUUAAUGAAAUUCAACAUCUGACCCUAGCAGAUGAACAUGUUGUCACCUCCAACUGUAAAAACCCAAGAGGCAUGACACUGACACAAAGCUGGGUCAAAGAAGUUCUUUUUAUGUUUCAAAUCAAGUUUUUGGCACAAUUAUGUUCACAGUUCAGACAGAUAUGAGCAUCAAGCUGCGAAAAUAUAGCCUUCCUGAAGCGUUCAUCACCUUCUCUUCUUGUGAAAAGUGAAGCAGGAUUGGGUCUUUCACUCAUAUUCGAAACAAACAUGUUUUUCUUUGCAGCUCCUCUCAGUGAAACUGGGAGAAAGACUUCAGAAUUCGCACAACAAUUGGACAAAUGCUCUCAUUACAUCACUCAAAACUCAACCACCUGGUAUCUGCUGUGUCGUUGGAAAGCUGCCCAACAGGUUAAUUUGUUCUGCUUUAGGCCUACCUGACAUUUAGCCUAAAAGAGGUUUUUGUACAUGCUGGGGAAUGAAUACAAGUGAAGGACACAAAUGCUUUCAAUGCAUGUUUUCUGUAACAAAAUGUAGUUUCAUCAAAAUAAAUUCACUUUAGCUUUGAUUUGAGAUUACAAUUGAUCUUAAAGAGUGAAUUUAUCUCACAUGCUGCAUAUGGUUCUGAUACAGGAUGGUUUGGUUUGUUUAGAGAGGCCUAUUUUAUCUUCUUUUAUUUACUUUACUGGUAUUUUUUUUUCCCAUGCAGGGAACUUAAUAUAAAUCCAUUCAAUUUGGAAGUUUACAAAGUUAUCAUAUGUGGCAUUAAUGAGGAGACAGUGCCCUCUUCUGGUACGAGCUCUGAAACAACAUUUGUGGGCUUAAAACAACUCAGUUCCUGAUGAAAAAGCAGAAGUUUAACAAUGAAAAAUUGAAGUACAUAUUUUUCAAAUAUCUAGAAAGGAAGUCAUUAAGUGUUUAUCGUUUAGUGGUAAGCAGAUUUACAUGUUCAAGAUUUAAUUCGUAUUAUUACAAAAUAUAUAAUAAUGACAAACCAAAUUAAAUGUUCUGAAUUCAAUUUUAAUGCUACAAACUAUUUUUAAAAACAAAAAUCUGGAGAAAUUAUCUGAUAAAAAAGCCUUCAGCUGCCUCAGGUGUAUUGAAAAAUAUGCUUCGGCUGAUAGCUUCAGUUUUUAGAUUUAUAAAACAAUCCAACACCAAAGUUUGCUGUCAUCCUGAAGAUGCUAAGUUUUAAUUUCUUUGACAAGGAAGAUCACUCUUGUUUGUUAUCUUUGCUGGCAGCAGAGCCAAACAGUGACAAAAGGGCAGCGGCAGUUGAGUUUCACAUGAUGCAGGAGCUCAGGAAUGCAUCCCCAGGAGAGUCACCAAAUCCCAGCCAACCAUUCUGCUCCACAGAGACAGAGAAAGAAGACACACGGAGAGGACUUGGUAAACUCCAGAGACACAUUGUUGAUGUGCAAAACUGUCUACAAACUCUGGCAUGGUUGACCCACGCCAAAAAUGCAGGAGUGAAGCUUCCCAGGGAAAAAUGAUCACAUAAACCCAUAAACAAGAAUUUCCCAUCAUUCAACUUGAUGUUUUAUCAACACCCCACUAUUUAAGGCUUUUCUUCAAAAGUCACCGUCAAAUUUUCAG